UCAUGGGCCGUGUGUGUUUGCAAAAGGACGUGUGUGGCAGUGACAGCAGCGGGAGCCCCGGGGGAGGCCCCCCGGGGACACGUGUCCACCACCUGGGCUCCCGUGCCCGCUGAGCUCUGGGAGGCAGUGGCUGCUAAAAUACAGAUUCCUAGGCCCCAGACCAUCAUCCUGAAGCCAAAUUGCCAGAGUCAGGCCCAGGACUCUAGAGUUUCUUUGAGGGUCUCCCAGACACUUCUGGUGAGCAGCCAGGCUUGGAAACUCCUGUGCAGCCCACCCAGCCCCAGUGCCUCUGGAUUCAUCUGCAGUGGCUGGAACCCCGUUCUCCAGUUGUUCACCCCAGCAUUCUGAGGCCAGGACUGGGCUGCUUUACAUUUCAGAAAGGCAUGUUGGGGCUGGGAGAAAGCAGACUUGCCAUCUGGAAAAGCUGUCCCAGGCCUGUGCUUUCGGGACCUGAAGCCACAGCGCACUGCGUGCACCUUAGCCUUGCAUCGUGCAGCGUGGCUGCGAUCUUCAUUCCCAGCAACCCUCCUUCCUGGGCCUGGUGAUCACCGUCCUCUUCUGUAGCACCAGGGACCUUAGCAGAGCCCCUGUGUCCCGCGUCUGUCCAGUGCCUGCAAAAAGAGAACCAUGGGACAAAACCCCCAUUGCACAGAUGGGGAGGGCAGCCAGAGAAGGGACCAUUGACCUGGGUCACCCCGAGAGUUGAUGGCAGCCCUUACCACCUGCAUCGUGUGGUGUUUUGAUCUCCCGGAGGGCAGCUUACAAUCCCAGACUCUCCAAGUGACAGAGAGGGCCCAUUCUGUCCAAGUCCACAUGCCCCCCAAUUUACAGAUGAGGACCCUGAGGUCUGGAAAGAUGAGGUGACUUUUUGGAUGGCUCAAAGAGGAGCAAUGGAGUGACUGGGGAAGAACAAUUGGUUAAUCAAGAGGUAAGACCUUUCCACGCUGGUCUCACAUCAUACAUGAAUUUAAUUUAACUGAGUUAAGAUCCACUUAACUAAACACAUUUGCCCCUCACACCCCAAAGGGGACAUUAUAUGAUGGGGAAAUCCCCACACCACUCACUUUGAAGGUGUCUCUUCCAAGCCAAACCCUCCCGUUGGGUCCCACGUGUCUCUGAGUAGGAGCACCUGGUUCCUCCCUCUGCCUGUGAGUGUCCCACUCCACUGUGUGGCCCCUAAACACAAGACUUUACUGUAUCUGGAGCUUGACAGGAGAAACAGCGAUCCGUCCCAACGCAGGAGGAAAAACUGGCUGUGCUGAAAUUAUUGAGAAAUAGUGGUUGGCUCCAACAUGACGGCUUCCCAAGGAAUUUUCAAGGCCAUUUUGACUCUUAAGCGAUUUUGCCCUUAAGGACCUGUCCUCUGCAAAAGAUGCAAUCCCACUGGCUCUCCAGCAACUAGAAAAGAAACAAGAGACCUGAUAUUUUUAAAUCUUUUUACCAAAGUAUAAACUACAUGCACAAAAAUGCACAUAUGUUAAGUAUACAGCCCAACAAAUGGUCACCAAGUGAACACACCCCAGUAGCUAACCCCCUCCUAUUUAGUCCCCCCUCAAAGGUAACCACUACCCUAACUUAUCUCUCCAUAGAUUACUCUCACCUAUUCUUGUACUUUUUCUAUAAAAGGCAUCUUGUAGGAUGCACUCUGCCUGCUGAGCUUCCUUCACCCGGCUUAGUAUUGGUGAGGUUCAUCCAUGUUGUCUUGUGUAGCAGUAGUUUAUUUAUUCUCCUUAAUGUUUUUCAUUCCACGUGUGCCUGUACCACAAUUCAUUUAUCCAUUUUACUGUUGAUGAUUUAUCAAUUAGUUAUUGCUGGGAAACAAAGCCUCCCAUAGCUCAGUGGCUUAAAACAGCAACCAUUUAUUUAGCACGUGCUUCCAGAAGUAGAUGUGGACUGGGAUCAGCUUGGUGGUUCUUCUGCCCUGGGAUGGGCUUGGCUGAUCUUGGCUGGGUUUGCUAAGUGUCUGCCUUCCACAGCUAGGGCUGGCUGGUCUCAGAUGAAGCCAGCUCUGAAAAUUCAUCUCUGCUUCACCCAUCACUCAUCCUCCAGCAGGCUAGCCUGGACUUUUCACACAGCAACUGCAA
rnacentral:lncRNA from 1 species